AUUUCUACAUUUCCUGUUAGAAGUAAAAUUUUAUGAUAAUAAACUGAUUUUUUUUUCCAGACUAUCGGUGUUUCUCUGCCAUCAAAUGACGCUGAAAAAGACAAUAAACUGGAAUCAAAAUAGAUACAAAAAGAGAAAAUACUCUUGGCGUGCGGUGAAUAGCCAGCACCCGCUCUCGGGUUCUUAAACUUUCUCUACUCUCUCCACGAGCUAACCAGACGUAGGUUUAACCUAUACCACAGCUAUCCAGGCGUAGGAAAAAGAACAACGCCUUCGAAAUCCGCAUCAAUCUUCACUUAAGAUGAAUGGCUGGGAGCUGGAUAGAGCAUCAGAAGCUUGUUCCCAGUUUUCCACACCAUUUAUCCUCCAGUCCAUGGAAUACCUAUCCGGGACUGGAAUUCUAGAAGAGAAAUGUUAACAUCCAUCCAUCUAGCAGACAUCCAACAUUUAGCUUACCUCCACUGAUGCCCAUAACAGUGGUGGGGGGGAGAGAUGUUAAGCAGAUUUCACUUGAUGAUUGAAUUUGCUGAAACCAUGAGAAGGAACUCAGUUGAGAAAUGUGAUAGACGUCUCACAAAGGGAACUAAUCCAUUGAGGACUGAGUUGUAGAACCCAGAGAGUUGAGUUACCUCUAUAGGAUCCAUAUUCUGGAACCAGGAGCAACUGAAGCUUCAACUAUGUUGUAUUGAGACCAAUUGCCGAAUGGUCGGCAGUAGUCACCGAUAUCCCGGGAUCGGGGUAUUUGACUACUGUAAUUUGGAAAAUGAUCCUAACGCUGGAUUAUCUCCUUAGGACAUCGAUAGAGAUCCGGGAGACAUGUAUGCUUAUGGACACGCCGAACGACGGUGUGUGACGCAUCUAUUCGAAAGCCUUUGCUACGCUGCAAAGCAACAACAACAACCAAAACAACAACAAAAACAUCAACAUAAACAACUAUAUGACAACAGCAUCAAGCACAUUGGCACAAGCGCCUCCUCGGCAAUAAGAUGAUAAAGAAUUUGAGUAUUUAAAGCCAAGAAAAUAAAAGUGAGGGAGAUCCCUUAAAAGUAAAAAAGAUAAAAAUAAUGAAAAAAAAGAAUAAGAAGAAUAUCUAACACUGGAUGAAGGAGUGCGAAAAGCAACCUAUUCAGUUUUUGUACGCCGUUUGUAGUUUCCAGACGAAAUUGGAUUGUCAACGGCUCGUGAUCACGUGAUACUGGGCAACUGAAGUCUGGAACCGUUUUCACUUAUUUAUUGUUAUUUUAAGGCAAUUUAGUUUGCCGCCAUGAUGAUGAUGAUGUAAAUGAUGAUGAUGACAAAGAGGAAUAUGAUCAAGUUAUGGAUGAUGAAGAUGUCUAGUCUCUGACGUAACUAAAUAAAGCUUGAAAGUUCCAACAGAACACAAUCCGAAGCUCAACUGAACGAGUUUCAACCAGCUGAUCGAUAUUUAUGAUUACCCCGCUUGAUGAAAGUGCGAAUUUGCGACUUAUUGCAGUUUUGUGAUUUUUGUGAUUACACGGCUAGCUUAGCCGAGCUAUGUAUGAUUACUAUAAUACAGUUAGUGAUUGGAGAUCCGGUGUAAGAUAUGUGGUAAACACAACAGCUGGAAGAUUUGUGGUAUACACAACAGCUGGAAGAUUUGUGGUAUACACAACAGCUGGAAGAUUUGUGG